rnacentral:lncRNA from 1 species
GGCUGUACUAUUUAUAUACAUAAUAGGGAUCCAGCCAGCACCCAGGCGCCACGUGUCAAACCUUGCGGCUGUACAGUUCUGAACAUUUUUUUUUUGAAGCGAGUAUAGCCGCUCGGCUAUACUAUUUUUAAAAAAAUUAAAAAAAUCUAGCCAGCACCUAGGCGCCACGUGUCAAACCAUGCGGCUGUACUGUUUUUAAAAUCUGGAAAAAAAAGGGUUUAAAGCGAGUAUAGCCGUGCGGCUAUACGAUUUUUAUAUUUUAAAAAGGGUCAAUAAUGUUUUUUAAGAAAAAAAAAAGGUUAUUUUUUGUAAUUAAACAAUCUCUUAGCCUGAUUUAAUUACUUGAAUUAUGAAUUAGGUCCUACCUAUUAUUUAUCUAGUGAAUAAUUGAUAUUAAAUAUUUUAAUUAACUUCAUAAAUGAUAUUACUUAAUAUAUAUCUUGCAUUUUUGUUAGAACAAGUGAGCUCUCACAUUCAUUCAUAGUUAGUAAAAUACGGAAGGGAAAAAAAUGCGAAUUAAAUACGUAUGUGUUUGAUUCGGCAAUAUCUUGGCACAUUACAACCCAAAAAUUCGGUCACUAUACUGUAUUUUUUAAAUAUAUAUUAUUUUUAUUCCAUAAUAUGUGCGUGUAUACGUGUGUUAAACAUGAAAAACACGUACGUACAUGUAUAAUACGUAACCUUCGAGGUCUCUAAAUGUAUUCAUUAAGCCCUUCAAGACCUUAAUUAAAGUAAUUCAAGGGCUUCAAAUAUAUUUUAAAAAAUUGAACUUCAAGUACUUACUAAUUCAAGUAAUUCAAAAAGGCUAAGAUAUAAAUUAAUUACAUAUAUGAAAUUAAAGAAGUUGGCAACAAAAAUCAAAAGUAAAGAAACUGAUUUUAUAUUUUCAAAAGUCGCUAGGUUAGCAGGGUACAGCCACGCGGGUAUACUAUAGGGAUCCAGCCAGCACCUUGGCGCCACGUGUCAAACCAUGCGGCCGUACUGUUCUGAACAUUUAAAAAAAAAGGGUUAAAAGCGCGUAUAGCCGCGCGGCUAUACUAUUUAAAAAAAAUUAAGAAAAUCUAGUAUAGCCGGGCGGCUGUACUAUUUAUAUACAUAAUAGGGAUCCAGCCAGCACCUAGGCGCCACGUGUCAAACCAGGCGGCCGUACUGUUCUGAACAUUUAAAAAAAAAAAAAAAGGGGUUAAAAGCGAGUAUAGCCGCGCGGCUAUACUAUUUCAAAAAAAAAUUUUAAAAAUCUAUUAUAGCCGGGCGGCUGUACUAUUUAUAUACAUAAUAGGGAUCCAGCCAGCACCUAGGCGCCACGUGUCAAACCAUGCGGCCGUACUGUUCUGAACAUUUUUUUAAAAAAAAAAAAGGGGUUAGAAGCGAGUAUAGCCGCGCGGCUCUACUAUUUAAAAAAAAAUUUAAGAAAAUCUAGUAUUGCCGGGCGGCUAUACUAUUUAUAUACAUAAUAGGGAUCCAGCCAGCACCUUGGCGCCACGUGUCAAACCAUGCGGCCGUACUGUUCUGAACAUUUAAAAAAAAGGGUUAAAAGCGAGUAUAGCCGCGCGGCUGUACUAUUUAAAAAAAAAUUUAAAAAUCUAUUAUAGCCGGGCGGCUGUACUAUUUAUAUACAUAAUAGGGAUCCAGCCAGCACCUAGGCGCCACGUGUCAAACCAUGCGGCCGUACUGUUCUGAACAUUUAAAAAAAAAAAAAGGGGGUUAAAAGCGAGUAUGGCCGCGCGGCUAUACUAUUUUUUAAAAAAAUUUAAAAACCUAUUAUAGCCGGGCGGCUGUACUAUUUAUAUGCAUAAUAGGGAUCCAGCCAACACCUAGGCGCCACGUGUCAAACCUUGCGGCUGUACAGUUCUGAACAUUUUUUUUUCAAAAAAUAAAAAGGGUCAAAAGCGAGUAUAGCCGCGCGGCUAUACUAUUGUAAAAAAAAUUAAAAAAAUCUAGCCAGCACCUAGGCGCCACGUGUCAAACCAUGCGGCUGUACUGUUUUUAAAAUCUGAAAAAAAAGGGGUUAAAAGCGAGUAUAGCCGUGCGGCUAAACUAUUUUUAUAUUUUACAAAGGGUCAAUAAUGUUUUUUUUUUAAAAAAGGUUAUUUUUAGUAAUUAAACAGUAUCUUAGCCUGAUUUAAUUACUUGAAUUAUGAAUUAGGUCCUAACUAUUAUUUAUCUAGUGAAUAAUUGAUAUUAAAUAUUUUAAUUAACUUCAUAAAUAAUAUUCCUUAAUAUAUAUCUUGCAUUUUUGUUAGAACAAGUGAGCUCUCAC